ACUCCGGUAGAGUCUGCUGCGGGUUGCGUACGGAUGCCCAGCCGGUAUUGAAGCUGCUCUACCUGGAGUGUUGGCUCUCCCUCCUAUUGGCGCACGGUUUCUGCCGACGUCAACUGUGUCCAGCGGGGAGAAAUUGCGUACUGACUGCCAGAAGAAUGAGUACAUGAGUCCCACAACCCUGCUGGCAUCGGCUGCCAGCUGGCCGCCCGAUGCCAGGCGGGACUCGACAUGGACGUGCACUCCGGGGACCCUCAGGUGCACGAGGCCAUGUGCAACAUCCAGGCCCGAGCUACCUCUUCAGAGGCCAGCGAUCACAGUAUCGCUCUCGGCCUCCUGACCGAUAUAACCAAAAUGUUCUGAACGUCCUCCCUCAACACUCCUCCUCUGGGGCCUUUGAGGACAAGUGUCCUCGCCUCCAUGGUGACGGCCAGCGAGCUCUGGCCGACCUCAACGGCCCAUCCAAAGCCUUCAGUGCACUCAGCAUCAACAGCGUUGAAGCCAGUACCUGACGCUCCUAGCGUUGGAACGGAUUAGGUUAUUUACAUGUAAAACGUGUUUCUACUUACAAACGUUUCACACAACAAAAGGACUUCCGGAACGGAUCAAUUUCGUAAGUAGAGGCAUCACUGUAUCUUGAUUUGAAAGUGGCACAAUGGAGCUGCUAUCCCAUGAGUUAGAAUGCUCCAAAACAUGGCUAUUAUGGACAUUUAGUUCCAAAGAGCAUGUGUUUAGCUUGUAUAGUUCUUGAGCUACACCUCUGAAGGAUUGCAAUUUUGUGGUGAAUUUUUAAACACAUGGAGAGGGUGUGAAGUCCCAAGUUUUGUCUGACUUUCAAAGCAAUUUUGCCUUCCAGAAAAUGUUGCUUGAACACCAAACGGUUCUGAUAUUGAAGAUAAUGAGUGAUAAGAGUCCAUACCGCAGCGCAUGUGGGGUAAUUUGAGGGAAUUAUAUAUAUUUUUUUACAUUAAAACAACAAUUUUUGUUGUUUUGUUUAAGUGUAUCGAAUGUCAAUUUUAAAAUAUAAAUUAUGUU